CCAGCCACCUCCAAGCUGUUCUGUCUUCUCCCAGUAACUACAGUAGAGAUCACAUCUUCAUCUUCUGGAGUCCUCAACCACUGGAGGGUCACACGGAAGCCAACUGUGAAGCUGGGGAUUGUGGCAUUUACCGACAUGGCCCUUGCUUGUUUCACCAAACACAGAACUCAUGCAAGAAGCACAAGACGGAGUCAAAACCCCUUCUAAGUCACAGUGUCUCACCAAAAGAGACCAAAGCAACAUCUGGAGGAAGCCAUCAGGGGAUCUGAAGAAUCCAUCCCUAUCAUGCCACAGAAUGUGUCAAGUUCCGAAAUGCCAGCCUCUCCAUUCCACCCAAAGAGCCUCUCAUCCACCUGCCCCAAGUAAGAACAGGAGUCUGCAGGAGUCCUGGGCAGAUGCAUCUAUCUACCUCUGCAGUUCCAUUUCCCUUCAUGGAGGAGCUUUAGACCCCUUUUGUUCAGGAAUUGUUUUUCCCCAGCAGGAGGCUUCCUCUUUCUUCAAGGGGACAGUUCUAUGGGUCUCCACAGCCUGUGCCCAAAUUAGAGCUGGUACACCUCUCUCCUCCACUUCAGGGGCAGAAUCAUCAAGAUGACAAAGAAGCCUCCCUGCCAGGAGCAUGAGAGGAGAAAGGCUGAAGGAGAUCUAUCAAGCCCAGGAGAAGACAACCCCCACCAAAUGAAGGAGAGACGUGCCUCAAGGUUCUGAAGGGAAAAAGCCUGGAGGCUGAAAAACCCAUUCCCACAAAUAAGGUGGCAAAAGAAGUGGUCGAUAAGAAGGGCAUGGCAACCUCACUGUCACCUGUUGUAGGGCCAAAAAAGCAGAUGCAGGAUCCAGUGGUUUGAAGUCAAAAGUCCUGCAGACAAUUCCUGAAGGAGCCUUUCUUUUAUUAUAC